UUUUAUUUGAGAGUUUGAUCCUGGCUCAGGAUGAACGCUGGCGGCGUGCCUAACACAUGCAAGUCGAGCGAUUCUCUUCGGAGAAGAGCGGCGGACGGGUGAGUAACGCGUGGGUAACCUGCCCUGUACACACGGAUAACAUACCGAAAGGUAUGCUAAUACGAGAUGAUAUAUUUUUAUUGCAUGAUAAAGAUAUCAAAGCUUUUGCGGUACAGGAUGGACCCGCGUCUGAUUAGCUAGUUGGUAAGGUAACGGCUUACCAAGGCGACGAUCAGUAGCCGACCUGAGAGGGUGAUCGGCCACACUGGAACUGAGACACGGUCCAGACUCCUACGGGAGGCAGCAGUGGGGAAUAUUGCACAAUGGGCGAAAGCCUGAUGCAGCAACGCCGCGUGAGCGAUGAA
rnacentral:rRNA from 1 species